rnacentral:lncRNA from 1 species
GGCAGUAUCAGAGCUCUGAUAUGAAUUCGGUUUGGUCUCUGUCUAGCAACCUUUGUACUUCACGUCAAAGGCCUUUAUACAUAGCAGGGGCUCAGGAAAUGGUUUUUUUUUUUUUUUUUUUUUUUUGAGAUGACACAAAAACGAAGUGAGGCUUUUUUUCCGAGGCCAGAGGAGGAGACUGGCUCCUGGCUGCACAGAUACAGCUUGCAUCCCUGGUAAUCCUUCACAGGACCUGCUGCGGGGAGCUGAGUGGUUUAUACCUGGUAGCCUGGGCCAAGAGUUCUGCCUUUAUAAUGGGAGUCUGAAGUUUGUGCAAGUGCCAAGCGGGAGCAAGAGGCCAGCAGAGGUGUACACCUGGGGGUCCAGGAUGGAAGGAGG